UACGGGGGGGGCAAGCGUUGUUCGGAAUUACUGGGCGUAAAGAGUGUGUAGGCGGUGCUCCCAGUCUGUUGUGAAAUCUCCCGGCUUAACUGGGAGGGUGCAGCGGAAACUAGAGUGCUAGAGGGUGGGAGAGGUAAGCGGAAUUCCUGGUGUAGCGGUGAAAUGCGUAGAGAUCAGGAGGAACACCCGUGGCGAAGGCGGUUCUCUGGGACGGUACUGACGCUGAGACGCGAAAGCGUGGGGAGCGAACAGG
rnacentral:rRNA from 1 species